rnacentral:rRNA from 1 species
UACGGAGGGUGCGAGCGUUGUCCGGAAUCACUGGGCGUAAAGGGCGCGUAGGCGGCGCGGGCAGUCAACGGUGAGAGCUUGGGGCUCAACCCCGAGUCGGCCGUCGAUACUCCCGUGCUGGAGCACUGUAGAGGCAGGUGGAAUUCCGGGUGUAGCGGUGGAAUGCGUAGAGAUCCGGAAGAACACCGGUGGCGAAGGCGGCCUGCUGGGCAGUAGCUGACGCUGAUGCGCGACAGCGUGGGGAGCAAACAGG